rnacentral:lncRNA from 1 species
CGACUAAGUAGUUUGGUGGCAAAAUAGGACUAGGAUUUUUGCAACAUACAUAAUUCGGUCGCUAUUUUAGUGGCUAAGAAUUUUAGCGACCGAAUCAUGCUUUUUUUGUAGUGUUAAAAAUCAUAAAAGAUAUGCACUAGUUUUAGAUGAAUCUUAGAAGAUAGAACUAUUGUCCAAUAGCAUACCUUCACCAUAACCAUCUCCA